AGGGCGGUAAUCGUGGGCGUUUCUGCGUACCUUGCAGGUGGGAGACGUUGGAUUCGUUCAUGCAGCAUGAUGUUCAGGAGCUGUGUCGCCUGUUGCUGGAUAACGUUGAAUGCAAAAUGAAGGGCACCAUGGUGGAUGGCACCAUACCGAGACUGUUCGAAGGCAAAAUGAUCUCAUAUGUCAACUGCAAACACGUCGAGUACAUGUCAUCCCGGGUAGAACCCUUCUACGAUAUCCAGCUCAACGUAAAGGGAAAGAGAAACA